ACACACACACACACACACACACACACACACACACACACACACCCCAGCAUUCCCAGUUGGGGGAGGGACAAUUGAGUCUGUGUCAUAUGUGUGUGUGUGUGUGUGUGU
rnacentral:miRNA from 1 species